GAUGAACGCUGGCGGCGUGCCUAACACAUGCAAGUCGAACGGAGUUUAUAUUAUGAAGUUUUCGGAUGGAAUGAUAUAAACUUAGUGGCGGACGGGUGAGUAACGCGUGGGUAACCUGCCUCAUACAGGGGGAUAACAGUUGGAAACGACUGCUAACACCGCAUAAGCAUACAGUAUCGCAUGAUACAGUGUGAAAAUAUUUAUAGGUAUGAGAUGGGCCCGCGUCUGAUUAGCUAGUUGGUGAGGUAAAGGCUCACCAAGGCGACGAUCAGUAGCCGGCUUGAGAGAGUGACCGGCCACAUUGGGACUGAGACACGGCCCAAACUCCUACGGGAGGCAGCAGUGGGGAAUAUUGCACAAGUGGGGAAACCCUGAUGCAGCGACGCCGCGUGAGUGAAGAAGUAUUCGGUAUGUAAAGCUCUAUCAGCGAAGGGAAGAAAAGUGAACGGUACCUGAACUAAGGAACGCCCCGGACUAACCUACGUGCCAGCCAGACCC
rnacentral:rRNA from 1 species